AACGCUGGCGGCGUGCCUAACACAUGCAAGUCGCACGAGAAAGGGUAGCAAUACCUGAGUAAAGUGGCGCACGGGUGAGUAACACGUGAAUCAUCUACCUCCGAGUGGGGAAUAACUGAGAGAAAUCUUAGCUAAUACCGCAUAACACUUACGAGUCAAAGCAGCAAUGCGCUUGGAGAGGAGUUCGCGGCAGAUUAGUUAGUUGGCGGGGUAAUGGCCCACCAAGACGAUGAUCUGUAUCCGGCCUGAGAGGGCGCACGGACACACUGGAACUGAAACACGGUCCAGACUCCUACGGGAGGCAGCAGUGGGGAAUUUUGCGCAAUGGGGGAAACCCUGACGCAGCAACGCCGCGUGGAGGAUGAAAUCCCUUGGGAUGUAAACUCCUUUCGAUAGGGAAGAUAAUGACGGUACCUAUAGAAGAAGCCCCGGCUAACUUCGUGCCAGCAGCCGCGGUAAUACGAGGGGGGCAAGCGUUGUUCGGAUUUAUUGGGCGUAAAGGGUGCGUAGGCGGUUUGGCAAGUCUUGUGUGAAAUCUUUGGGCUCAACCCAAAGCCUGCACAAGAAACUGCCGGGCUUGAGUAUGGGAGAGGUGAGUGGAAUUUCCGGUGUAGCGGUGAAAUGCGUAGAUAUCGGAAGGAACACCUGUGGCGAAAGCGGCUCACUGGACCAUUACUGACGCUGAGGCACGAAAGCUAGGGGAGCAAACAGGAUUAGAUACCCUGGUAGUCCUAGCCCUAAACGAUGAUUGCUUGAUGUGGCAGGUACCCAAUCCUGCCGUGUCGAAGCUAACGCGAUAAGCAAUCCGCCUGGGGAGUACGGUCGCAAGGCUGAAACUCAAAGGAAUUGACGGGGGCCCGCGCAAGCGGUGGAGCAUGUGGUUUAAUUCGACGCAACGCGAAGAACCUUACCUGGGCUCGAAAUGUAGUGGAAUCCGGCAGAAACGUCGGCGUCUAGCAAUAGACCGCUAUAUAGGUGCUGCAUGGCUGUCGUCAGCUCGUGUCGUGAGAUGUUGGGUUAAGUCCCGCAACGAGCGCAACCCUUAUCUACAGUUGCUACCAUUUAGUUGAGCACUCUGUCGAAACCGCCUCGGAUAACGGGGAGGAAGGUGGGGAUGACGUCAAGUCCUCAUGGCCUUUAUGUCCAGGGCUACACACGUGCUACAAUGGCCGGUACAAACCGCUGCAAACCCGCGAGGGGGAGCUAAUCGGAAAAAGCCGGCCUCAGUUCGGAUUGGAGUCUGCAACUCGACUCCAUGAAGCUGGAAUCGCUAGUAAUCGUGGAUCAGCAUGCCACGGUGAAUACGUUCCCGGGCCU
rnacentral:rRNA from 1 species